GUCGAGGAUCUUCGGCAAUGGGCGCAAGCCUGACCGAGCGACGCCGCGUGCGCGAUGAAGGCCUUCGGGUUGUAAAGCGCUGUCGAGGGGGAGGAAAACCCGCAAGGGUCUGACCUAUCCCUGGAGGAAGGACGGGCUAAGUUCGUGCCAGCAGCCGCGGUAAGACGAACCGUCCAAACGUUGUUCGGAAUCACUGGGCUUAAAGGGCGCGUAGGCGGGUCAUCAAGUCGGGGGUGAAAUCUUUCAGCUCAACUGGAAAAGAGCUUCCGAUACUGGUGGUCUCGAGGGAGGUAGGGGUCGAUGGAACUUCCGGUGGAGCGGUGAAAUGCGUAGAUAUCGGAAGGAACGCCGGUGGCGAAAGCGAUCGACUGGACCUUUUCUGACGCUGAGGCGCGAAAGCCAGGGGAGCAAACGGGAUUAGAAACCCCGGUAGUCC
rnacentral:rRNA from 1 species